rnacentral:rRNA from 1 species
CACGCAGGCGGCCAGUCAAGUCUGACGUGAAAGCUCCUGGCUUAACUGGGAGAGGUCGUUGGAAACUGGUUGGCUUGAGGCAAUGAGAGGGGUACGGAAUUCCAGGUGUAGUGGUGGAAUGCGUAGAUAUCUGGAGGAACAUCAGUGGCGAAAGCGGUACCCUGGCAUUGACCUGACGCUCAUGUGCGAAAGCGCGGGGAGCGAACG